rnacentral:rRNA from 1 species
GACGAACGCUGGCGGCGUGCUUAACACAUGCAAGUCGAACGGUAAGGCUCCAGCUUGCUGGGGUACACGAGUGGCGAACGGGUGAGUAACACGUGGGUGACCUGCCCUGCACUUCGGGAUAAGCCUGGGAAACUGGGUCUAAUACCGGAUAGGACCGCACCGUGAGGGUGUGGUGGAAAGUUUUUUCGGUGUGGGAUGGGCCCGUGGCCUAUCAGCUUGUUGGUGGGGUAAUGGCCUACCAAGGCGGCGACGGGUAGCCGGCCUGAGAGGGUGGACGGCCACAUUGGGACUGAGACACGGCCCAGACUCCUACGGGAGGCAGCAGUGGGGAAUAUUGCACAAUGGGCGGAAGCCUGAUGCAGCGACGCCGCGUGGGGGAUGACGGCCUUCGGGUUGUAAACUCCUUUCACCAUCGACGAAGGGUUUCUGACGGUAGAUGGAGAAGAAGCACCGGCUAACUACGUGCCAGCAGCCGCGGUAAUACGUAGGGUGCGAGCGUUGUCCGGAAUUACUGGGCGUAAAGAGCUCGUAGGUGGUUUGUCGCGUCGUCUGUGAAAUUCCGGGGCUUAACUCCGGGCGUGCAGGCGAUACGGGCAUAACUUGAGUACUGUAGGGGAGACUGGAGUUCCUGGUGUAGCGGUGAAAUGCGCAGAUAUCAGGAGGAACACCGGUGGCGAAGGCGGGUCUCUGGGCAGUAACUGACGCUGAGGAGCGAAAGCAUGGGGAGCGAACAGGAUUAGAUACCCUGGUAGUCCAUGCCGUAGACGGUGGGCGCUAGGUGUGGGUUUCCUUCCACGGGAUCCGUGCCGUAGCUAACGCAUUAAGCGCCCCGCCUGGGGAGUACGGCCGCAAGGCUAAAACUCAAAGGAAUUGACGGGGGCCCGCACAAGCGGCGGAGCAUGUGGAUUAAUUCGAUGCAACGCGAAGAACCUUACCUGGGCUUGACAUAUACAGGAUCGCGCCAGAGAUGGUGUUUCCCUUGUGGCUUGUAUACAGGUGGUGCAUGGUUGUCGUCAGCUCGUGUCGUGAGAUGUUGGGUUAAGUCCCGCAACGAGCGCAACCCUUGUCUUAUGUUGCCAGCACGUUGUGGUGGGGACUCGUAAGAAACUGCCGGGGUUAACUCGGAGGAAGGUGGGGAUGACGUCAAAUCAUCAUGCCCCUUAUGUCCAGGGCUUCACACAUGCUACAAUGGUCGGUACAGUGGGUUGCCAGUCCGUGAGGGCGAGCUAGUCCCGCAAAGCCGGUCUCAGUUCGGAUCGGGGUCUGCAACUCGACCCCGUGAAGUCGGAGUCGCUAGUAAUCGCAGAUCAGCAACGCUGCGGUGAAUACGUUCCCGGGCCU